CUGGGCUCAGAUAAGGGCUAGGCACUGAAGGGAAAGUGUUUAUUGAACUUGGACCUAGGUUGCUUCCUGAGAAGAAGUACUGUGUAACCAGAGAGCCCCUUCAUCAUCUGGACUGAAAGUAGCUGUGCGAUCUCUUUUUAACCACAACGCCAGGACAUGGGAGUGCAACUGAACCAAAGCACCUGUAUCUCAGGCCCAACUGAUAUGAAACUGCUGUGAGCAGCUGUGUUCACUGGAUCCAUAGCUGAGUCCAACAGGGAGGAGUAGCUGCAGCCACCUGCUAAUGGUAUCUAAUCCUAGAGUAGGGAGCUGGGGAAUCCAGGUGGUCUGGGUGACAUCCAGGAGAAUUCGGAAAGCACAGCUGGGAACUUUUCCUUUGACAAAGUAAAUAAUGCUGAAGAAAUGAAGAGUGGAUCUGUUGGUUAAAUUUGGCAGAAGAAUCCCUCGGAUCUGAGACAGCUGGAAGGCAAACUUGUUCUCCCUACAAUCCCCUGAUGUAUACAGCACCACACAGUGCUCAGGAAGUCCUCAGCCUCUGUGUGCUCCAUCACUAACAGCAAUAGAGAGGGACCAAAUCUAUUUAUUGGGCUCACCCCUGGUGCAGGUGGGGAAAACUAUUAUUAGAGGUGGGGUUGGGAUAACAGAAAUGCAGUUUGAUGCCUUACCUGUGGUUCUUGUUAAGCUCUCAGCAUGGCUGCUGUGGGCCGUGCUCGCUGACAGCUACUUAAUCCCUCCAGCUUCAAUAUUUUUGCUGUGUUGCAGCUUCUGAAGUGCCUGGUCCGGAAGGCCUGGGAACAAUAUGUUUCAGUAAUCCAGCUGAGAUGUAAUGAAAGCAUGAAUGACAGCCUGGCACCAUCCUGAGACAGCCUUGGUUGUAGCCUUACUUACUAUCCUCUGUAGGUGUAGAAGUUUUUGUCACGUAGCUAAACUGAUAAUCAAAAGAUGGGCUGAUAUCAAAGAUGACCUCGAGGUCGUGAACCUUCAAAUGAGAUGCUAUAAAACUUCCUUUAAAUGGAGCUGCAAAUCGUGAAGUGCCAUUCAAAAAGUAACAGGUACUAGCCAAUAUAAGCUCAACAUUCUUUAAAUUUAAUCACAGGGCAUGUUUUUCUGAUACCCACAGCUACAUGUCAUUUAGGUGUCUCAUCAAACAGGAAAUUACUUCCCUUGGAUCACCUGUAAUAGGAAAAUAAGCUGUGGCAUUAUCAGUAUAACAAUAGUUUCAAAUUAUGCCUCUUGGUCAUACUCCCUAGUAAAAUCCCAGGAGCACGCGGCAGACACUUGCAAAUUUAGAUUUGAAAGUCACCAUUGCACAUUUUGGGAGGAAAAAAAAAUCUGAUUUUGUUUGUAUCAGUGAAACACCAGGUAGAUAGCGUGCAAAAGUGAAGUCUUUGGUGCAUAGAGAGGAGUGGUGAGGGUAAAACUGAGGAGGGGACUCAAAGCCAGAUUCAGUUUCCUAAUAUCUUAUAGAUGACACAUGACUUAAAGCCUCUGCCAUCUUUACUUUUGCCUUUCCUUUUCAAUUCAUAUUUUAAUGAGCAAGUAAAACCAGAUAUUGUGUGACUUUUAUUCUAUCUGAGACCUUCCAGAUCUACUAUGUAUAAUUGAAAUAUAAAUUGCUCUGUUAGUCAUAUUCUUUUAGCUUUAUGUGCUUCCCAGAUUAAAAAAAAAAAAAUCCUCAUGAAAGUAGGCAUUUUUCCCUUAAAAAGGUCCUUAUCUUAGUUCAUCUAUCUUUACAUUGCUUUACUCUGAGCUUUAUCAGACAAACUGCAUUCCUAAGAAUUGGGAGAAUGAAAUUAUGGUAUCAUAGAAGUAAAUGCUGUGGUGGUGGCUUUUUGUUUUGUUUUAAAGCAAGAUCUAAUGGAUCAUUUUGUCUACAGCUGACCUUACAGGAGACAUAGUGAACAAUCACAGACUGUGUCUAAAAGCUCAAAAGCUGCUGCUUACCAAAAUGAACUGCAGUGUAUGAAGCCCCUUGAGGUGCUGCACUGUAUGCAUUAAGCACUACAUCUCCUCACUUGGCCCUUCUGCUGUUUCCCAAGCUUCUCUGAUUUCCUGAAAUCAGACAUUGUGGAUGAUGUUGGCCUCUAAGGCUCUCAUAUUUUAAGAAAUAAUCUUUCCCUUCUGGACCUCAGAACCACCUACUGGAAAUCUUAUCAUCCAUUUAGUUUAGUAUGUAUUAAAGUUUCGCAAUUAAUUAUCUGCAGUUCUAAUCCAGUGAGUCUGUGCAAUUAACAUCUGGGAUUCAGCACAUUCUUUUGCUGACUUAUUAAUUUAAGGACUUGGGAGGCAAUAGAUUCCCUCUAAGAUGAAAUGAGUAAAAUUUAAUAUGUACUCGAAAUUCUGAUUGGUUUCCUGUCUUUGAACCAAUCCUGUUAUUCAUUGACUCUCCAGUACAUUGGUCAGUGGUUGUUGUUGAUGAUAUUUAAACAUGUGGCAGCAAACUUUGGUGAGGUGAGGUGAGCUGAAGCAGAAACAGAAUGUAGUAAGAGGGAUUUCUGGGCUCUGUACUGUUUCUUGUAACAUGCAACCAGUUGACAUUGUUUUAUUUCGUCCUGUAGUAAAAUAAUCUGAACAUUGUUCCCAUCCCUGAGGUGACAGACUUACUUGAUACACUUAUUCCAAAACCGUUUCAAAGGAUACUGCAAUGGUGAAAAUAGCCUGACUAUCAAAGUUAACAAAAGCUUUUCCUCAACCCUGCUUACAAAGCUUAGUUUAUUCAUUUGACAAUCAGGGCCUUUCUGCUUUUGGGAAGACAAACAACAGAGACCUAUUCCAUGGAUGGUGCUCAACCUGGGAAAAAAAGGAGUCCCAGUUUCUAGUAAAUGGUGGAGAAAAAUGAUUAUCUGUUUUGUAAUAAAACAGAAAAUUAUGUCUGCAACUAUUUCCAGGAAGGACUAUUGUGGAAAUCAUUCUGUAAAUUCUUGAACAAUUGGUAACUUGGCUGUACUUUAUCCUGCUCAUAGGGCAAAAUCCUGCCCCUUCACCUUUUCUAAAGGCGAGAGCACUACUUAGAGCAUCCCCCUGGUUUUGCUUUAUCAAAAAAGCACUUUCUGCCUUACAUACAUUGAAGUCAAAAUGGACAUUGAUCCUUCCUUCAGCAGGUACCAAGAUGCAAAUUUCACCUGUUACUUAAAAUCCUGUCAUUUUCUCACAGUACCUACAAUUCAGAAAUCCCUUAUUAUUCAGCUCUCUGAAGUGCAGUGACAACAAAGUGUCAUUUACAAAAUGACACAGUUAUAUUCUCUUAGUAGGAGUCAGGGAGAAUGGCUCAGGUUUCUCAGAGUCAGAUUAUAUUAGUUAACUUAUCAAUGUAAUGUGUCUUUAUUUUGGAAAAGAAGUUAUUUAAUUUCAGCUGUGUAUUUGCAGAAAUUUGCAAGUUAUUGUUAUGCAUCAGGUACAGACAUUUUUUUUUUCCUUCACCUACGUCACUUGAACUAUUUUUUACACACUACAUCUGUUUUUGCAGUGUUUAGCAUUCAGGAUAGAUUUGAGGCAAACUAUUUGUGCGGGUGAGAACUGCAAAGUUUCUGUUUUGCAAUACCAUUUCCUCUUCUUGCCUGGAAUAUUCCUGAGCACAGUGGGAAGACCUUGUCAGAAUAUGUAAAGGCAUAAGUCAAUCAGCCUUCACAUUGUACAUGUAUAUGCCAUGGACUGAAAUAUAUAUGUAUAUAUAAACACACACACACACAUACACAUUCAUAUAUAUAUAAAUUGGAACAGGAAAACUACUUCAGGCAUUUGAUGUUUUACAGGAGGAUAUCUAGAAGCUAAAAUAUUAUGUAAAAAGUGUUGAUAAAAUAUUGAAGAGUUAAGAGAGAAACUGUCUUUAGCAUCCUCUCUGCUUGGCUGCAGGCAUAUGGGUAAUGCAAGGGAUGACAAACUGCCGUGGUUGUGAGGUUUCCUAUGACUAAUCUACGUGGUUAAAAAUCCAGCACUUCCUUAAAUCAGUGUAGAAGAGAGUUUGACUGCACAUUGGACUGAGGUGCAGUGCAUGCAGGCUCCCAGGUGGAUCUAUACUGUGCUCUGUGUCAACACACACACCUACUGGCUUGGAAGGCUUCCCAUUGCUGGGGUAUCCCAGUAUGAAAAGGGAACUGAACGGUAGCCAGGAAAUGGUCUCUUAAGGCACCUACCUGUGCAAUCAAUUCAUAACUCUUAUACAGAGUGCAAGAAAUAGCAGAGUACUCUUUGUAACCAGUGUGUUCAGGUCUCUAGUUAACUGGAGAAGUGCCCUUUCUUGGUCAGAAAAACUCCUUAGUUCAGGAUGAGAUAAUUACUGUGCAGAAGUGAGAUCCCCAAGCUGUUAUCAGGCUGGCUUAGUAGUGGGUAUUACUGCCUUUAGGUUUUCAGGACUCAGGAGCUGGCCUUCUAAAAUGAUAGAAGUGACUUAAUAAAAUAAGAGAUUAACAGGCAAGAGAGAGACUAACCUUGGACUUACUAUUGUUUGCCUUUUAGUUUCUGAAAAAAUUGGGUACAUUUAGACACACUUUAAGGCUUUUUUGAUCUAUCAGGAGGAUGUAAGAACUGCUCUGUGCUUUCAGUAGAAAUGUUCCCGAAAGCCCUCGCUUCCAGCAAUCAAGCUAAAAUCCAGCUGUUGAAACAGUUAGUAGCACUUGGGGAAGGUCAAGCAUGCAACCUAAACAUUCCUUGAGACUUGCUGUAUGAGUGGUCCAAAAUGGAUUUGACUCGGGAAAUAUAUAUGUAAAAAGUAGGAUUGGUGCCACUAAAACAAAAUCCUUUACAGGAGACAAUGGAAAUCUUACGAUCAUUGAUGGAUGC